rnacentral:tmRNA from 4 species
GGGGCUGAUUCUGGAUUCGACGGGAUUUGCGAAACCCAAGGUGCAUGCCGAGGGGCGGUUGGCCUCGUAAAAAGCCGCAAAAAAUAGUCGCAAACGACGAAAACUACGCUUUAGCAGCUUAAUAACCUGCUUAGAGCCCUCUCUCCCUAGCCUCCGCUCUUAGGAUGGGGAUCAAGAGAGGUCAAACCCAAAAGAGAUCGCGUGGAAGCCCUGCCUGGGGUUGAAGCGUUAAAACUUAAUCAGGCUAGUUUGUUAGUGGCGUGUCCGUCCGCAGCUGGCAAGCGAAUGUAAAGACUGACUAAGCAUGUAGUACCGAGGAUGUAGGAAUUUCGGACGCGGGUUCAACUCCCGCCAGCUCCACCA